rnacentral:rRNA from 1 species
UACGUAGGGCGCAAGCGUUGUCCGGAAUUAUUGGGCGUAAAGAGCUCGUAGGCGGUUUGUCGCGUCUGCUGUGAAGCCCGGGGCUCAACCCCGGGUCUGCAGUGGUACGGGCAGACUAGAGUGCAGUAGGGGAGACUGGAAUUCCUGGUGUAGCGGUGAAAUGCGCAGAUAUCAGGAGGAACACCGAUGGCGAAGGCAGGUCUCUGGGGCUGAUUACUGACGCUGAGGACGAAAGCAUGGGGAGCGACAGGAUU